rnacentral:tRNA from 2 species
GCGACACUAGCUCAGUUGAUAGAGCGCAACCUUGCCAAGGUUGAGGUCACGAGUUCGAACCUCGUGUGUCGCUCCA